rnacentral:lncRNA from 1 species
ACCAACCCCAUAGAGGUGACAAUGGGACCCCAUAGAGUGCCACCAACCCCAUAGAGGUGACAAUGGGACCCCAUAGAGUGCCACCAACCCCAUAGAGGUGACAAUGGGACCCCAUGGAGUGCCACCAACCCCAUAUUGGUGACAAUGGGACCCCAUUGGUGACAGUGGGACCCCAUAUUGGUGACAAUGGGACCCCAUAGAGUGCCACCAACCCCAUAGAGGUGACAAUGGGACCCCAUAGAGUGCCACCAACCCCAUAGAGGUGACAAUGGGGCCAACGUCAGCACCCGGGAGGGGACGUCGAGGAGUGUCACCGUAUGGGGGUGACUCACGGGGGCGCCCCCACCCACCUCAGGGCGGUGUCACCGCGUCACCUCCCUCCCUUAUCUUAUCGGCGCCGUGGGGUGGGGGUGGGGCUCUCCCUAUAGGGCCACCCAUCCCCGUCCCGCCCCCUUUUUUUGGGGUCAAAUAACCCCCCCCCCCAUCCCCUCCACCCCCCACCCCAAAAUCCUUCCCGGGUUGCGGAGCCAUCGGGGGACGGAUGGUGGCCAUGGAGGUGGCCUUCGUCCUCGUCACCAUCGUCGGCCUCUGGGGGGGCCCUGGGGGGGCACGGAGGGCCCCGUGCCAAAAUGGCGGCACCUCCGUGGGCCCCGCGUGCGUCUGCCCCCCCGGCUUCAACGGGACCCACUGCGAGACCCCCAACCCCAACCAGGCGUGCGGCAACGGGGGGGCCCCCGUAGGCACCAAAUGCUUUUGCCCCCCCGGUUUUGGGGGUCCCCUGUGCCGCCGGGCCCAACCCGGCACGGCCUGUCUCAACGGGGGGGUGGCUUUCGGGACCUCCUGCGUCUGCCCCCCCGGUUGGGGGGGACCCCGAUGUGACCGAGAGAGGGGGGACACGGCCU